rnacentral:lncRNA from 1 species
AUACACCAUAAAUCUAUAUGGAUGCCCUUUGACUGCUUGUCGAAGUCCUUUUUGCCCCAGCCGGUAGGUCUCUAGACAUUACAGAGAACCCCGAACAACCCAAUCUGCUAAUCUCCGAUACCGCUUUGUACUUAGGAUCUUGUAUCCAUAGACUGUCUUGUUAGAUUAAUCCAAUAAAUUUCAUGUACUCCGCAUACUCAAUCCUAUAGACAUCCUUUUAAUUCUUCAAUCACAGACGUAACUCGAUUUCACAAAACAGUCAAGAGUAAUCAAACCCAC